CUUAGUAUUAGUAAAUUUGGCUGAAAAGACCAAUUUAUGUCUUUCAGCCUUUUAGUAGAUAGCUCUCUAAUACCGUGGGAAUUAGGGAGUUAUCUACUUAUUCAUUCCUGUCAUUACACUGACUGACUAAGUAACUUACAUUUUAUAUGAAUGUAUGUUACUUGAUUGUUGUAAGUGUUGCAAAUGCUUACAGCUGAAUCCUGGCUAUGUUUGUAUACUUUUUAUUUAAAAUUGUAUACAAUGUAACAUUCUUCUUCUUUCAA